AGCACCUUCAGGUUCCCAAGUAUCGCCAGCCUGCGGGAGAAGAUGCUGACUUCUGGCCAUGUUUCAUGGUAGCACAUGUAUCCAACUUGCAAGUGAGAGAAAAAGGUUCCACCUUGUGACCCAGGUUCCUCAAGAGAAGAUAUCAUCACCUCUUUUUCUCAUUUCUGCCUCUCCAGCACAGCACCACCCCAGGAUCUGAAAUGAAUUUGACACUUGGAUAUCAGCCAUUCGAGGUAAAUGUCCUUUUGUCUGGAAAAUCUCAGACCAUUUCUGCCCAAAGAGAACCUCUGUUUCA
rnacentral:lncRNA from 12 species